GUCCACGCCCUAAACUAUGUCAACUGGUUGUCGGGGGAGCAAUCCCUUGGUAACGAAGCUAACGCGUGAAGUUGACCGCCUGGGGAGUACGGCCGCAAGGUUAAAACUCAAAGGAAUUGACGGGGACCCCGCACAAGCGGUGGAUUAUGUGGAUUAAUUCGAUGCAACGCGAAAAACCUUACCUACCCUUGACAUGUACGGAAUCUCGCAGAGAUGUGAGAGUGCUCGAAAAGAGAACCGUAACACAGGUGCUGCAUGGCUGUCGU
rnacentral:rRNA from 1 species